rnacentral:lncRNA from 1 species
GCUGGCGUGUCGUGCUCAGCCAUUAUGGUUGAUGAACCGUAGUAGUAGAAUAUAGAAGAAGAUCAAUAGUAUUGAAAAAAAAUUAGGUUAUGAGAUCUUAGCUCUGAUACCAUAAAAUAUAAUGUAAAGUGUGUGUUUAUUCAUCAACCAAUGUUGGUACUUAUACAACGAGAAUAUAGAAUAUAGCAACACGUAGAUAAACCUAAGUCCCUAGUAUAUAGGAAUACAUCAUUAUCCCUUUAAUUAUUCACAACAACGGAUUUAAUCCAUGUCACAUAAUAUAUCUACUAACAUUUGGUUAACUGUGGCGUGUGAACUUUCUAUAAAACAUUGGUUUGGUGUGUGAUUGUGUUGGUCGUUGUGGUUACUGUUUUGUGGUCGUGAAGGCAGCUUAGCAUAAUGACAAUGGACCGGACAAGUCAAACAAGUCUUUUGUUGUCGGUUAGUCUUGGGUGCGUACCUAACUGUAUUGCUGUUUGUUGUUGAACAUUAAAAUGUGAAGAAAGAGUCUUUCAUUUU